GUCCAUCCUCGCCUCGCUCCGUCCACGCGCCCCACCCCAAAUCCCACCCAAAUUCGUCACUCACCUCGCCCCCAAAUCCGAGCCACCGCUCCGCUCUUCGCCGUCUUGCAGACGCCCAUGCCGCCGCCCUCUCCCCAAUGUCGCUGCUCCCUCCCAACGUCGUCUCCCCGCUCAAAUCCCUAAACCCCAUUGGCCCAGCAAGCGUGCGCGUAACCCAGCACCCACCGACGACUGCACCGGUCAUCGCUACCGCGCUACUUCGGCCCCUUUGCCGGCGACGAGCACCACCAGGUAAGCCCUCCCCUUGGUCUCCCCUUCCUGUUGUGCGAAGUCGUGCGCUGAAACCUUAACUUACUACGCCCUCCCCUUCUCCCUUCCUGCUGUGCGAAGCCGGGCCCCAACCCCACAAGUAAAGCAGUAGCAGCAUACCUUCUUGACCUAGCAAGCAAUGGGGCCACCGUUCCUCGCCGUAGUCGUCAUCGUCGCCUUCCUGGCCGCCACCGCGCAGGCCGACGACCCCUUCGCCUUCUUCGACUGAGUCGUCUCCUACAUCACCGCCUCCCCUCUCGGUGUCCCGCAGCAGGUCCGCACACUCAACUCUGCAUCUCAUUUCUCAUCCCCUUGCGCGCAACUGCAAUACGGUUUCGUCUCCCUUCCUGCUGCGCCGAAACUAUUAAGUUUCAGAUAUGAAUCUUGUAUAUGCAUGGAUUGUGCCUACUAACUUCGAUUGCUUUGCAAAAAUUAUCGGGUCGUUACACCCAUGUUCUUUACUGGGCCUGCCCCUGGGUGCGGUUUGGGGUGCGGCGGCCGGCGGGCGCAGGUGCGACUGGUUCUAGCCUUUUUUGUUUGAUUUCUUCCUCAAACCCUAAACCCUAAACAUGCUCACAAUUUUUUGUGACUUGGCAUUAUUAUGUAAUAAAAAUUGUACAUUUACUCAUCAUACAUACAUAUCCCUGUUGUCAACUCUCGCCCAUACAUUUUGGUUCUGCUAGGUAAUUUUGAUCAACAGACUGAGAAAUCUUGAGAAAUUGAUGUCAUGUGAAUAACUAAACUUGUGCUAGCUAUUAGUUAUUUAGUUUACUGACUACUUUGAUCGAGCUUGGAACUUUGUACUUCAAUCAGAAAACAACUAAGCAGGUCCAAAUCAAUGUUGCCAUAGUUUCCAAACAGACUGCAACUCUAGAAACAUAGAAUUAUCAUUGUAUUAUAUGAAUGAAAAUGUACACACUUGCAUCCAAGUGGGGGGAAUGGAGGUUGGGCGAUUUGGUUAGCGUCUGGGAUUUAUAUAUAACAUACAAUUGCUAAAAUCAUUAAGUUUUUGGAUUUUGGAUUUAUAUUUAUUUGUUUGCGAUCAAGCUAUUUAGGUUCAUCAAUUAAUUUGCAACAUCAUGUCAUAUUUAACUUAUAUGCAGACCCUCAAAGUUGAGGCUUACGCAUCAAACAUCUUUUGUGAGGCAACAUGCAAGCUGUUCGAGCAAAAGCACAAUCGUGAUCUAUUUUGUGAGUCAUUUCAUGGCUCCAGAAUGUCUCCAGAAUUUUACAACAAAUAAAAUUAGUAAUAAAAUGACAAUCGACCAACAAUAACGUGAUUGAACUAAACUUUAAUGCUUCUAAUGAUGUUUUGUGCACAUGGAGGGAUAAUUCAGAGUAGGCAACAUCAAAAUUUUGACUUGCAGAUGCUGAGUCUCAAUGUACCAAGUACUAUCCAAGUUGAAUCUUCAUCCCUGUGUGCUUAGCAUGGACGAUUAUUCUUUUGACAUGGGCCUCACUUCACUAUAACCUGCUAACAUGUGAUUGGAUAGAGAGCUGAAGGUGUAUAUGAACUUUUAGUACCUAUUAGCAACUCUAAGCAUGAUAGUGGAAUUAAUAGUUAACAUGUCGAUAUGCUUGCCAAAUUGUUCAGUGGUUUCAGUCAGAUGAGUUCAUAAAUCAUAAUUGCUAAGUGGCAACUCGUCAUUGUUAAUUGGAUGAAUCAUAACUUUUGCAGUCUUCUUAACUGAUAUCCUGAUAUAGAUAGUGCAGAAGUUAAAAUCUGUUAUUUAGUUACUACUUUCUCAUGAGGAUGUUUAUAUAGCUUACAGGCGAACAUUCUUAUAGUCUGUACAUUUAGCCAAACAAAAGUCAGACGGUGCUAUUGUGACCUAUAUGUUUGUAUAUUUUUUCAAUCGAUCAAGUUUGAUUCUGAGAUAUUUCUCUCGUGUUUAGAUAAAGAGAAUGACACAAUGUUCAAAGGAUACAAUCACACUUGCCUUUUUUGUUCAUAGGAUGGCCAAGUAUUUUGUUUCUCAUAUUUCUUCAACUGUUGUCGGCAAGCUAAUAUGAGCUUUGGUUUGCUACAACAAUUAGCAUCCAGUUAUAUAUACUUCUUUGAAGUGAGUAGGGAAUUGCUUCCAAAAAUAUUUCAAGAUUUUUUUUAAAAAAAACUUGCAAACACGACUACAUGCAUCAGAAUACAUUGUUUAGAUUGGUUAUUGGUACAUGAUCUAAGUGCUUGUUGUAUCUCAUUUACAGGUAUUGGCUGUGAUCGAGUAUCUCCUGGCUAAUGGAAGUGAACAUAUUAUCAACAAAAUUAUUGACGAUAGCUCAUGAGAUUAUUCAAACUGCAAAUAUAGUGAAACUUAAGAUAUUGUUCACUAGAAUAUAUCUACUAGCUCAUUUUUCAGACUGCAGAUAUAGAAAAUUUAUAGUUGAUUACCUUAAGAGUUCAUAUGGUCCCUUCAACAGGAAUGUGUCUGUUUUACUUCUGAAUUUACAGAAAAGAAUUCUUGAUUUAUAGCUUAUAUUGACAGUGUUGCCUGCUCUCCCCUCUCUCUCUCUCUCUAUCUCUCUGUGCGAUUAAAGUAUAACAUAUAAACUGUCCUUGGCCUGCUAAAGCUAUUAUUUUCAGUUUGCUUGCAUGGAACUCAUUAUUUUUACUGGCUCUGUUUUAUUUCUCCAAUAGGUCGAACACGUCACAAGGGUGAAGAGAAGUUCAUGCAAGCAUAUGACUUGAUUGAAGUAUACUUUAAACUUAUAGUAGCACGUGCAUGUCUGUCCAUUAUUGACUCACAGAAGU
rnacentral:lncRNA from 1 species